rnacentral:rRNA from 1 species
UACAGAGGGUGCAAGCGUUAAUUGGAAUUACUGGGCGUAAAGCGUAUGUAGGUGGUUUUUUAAGUCAGGUGUGAAAUCCCUGGGCUCAACCUAGGAAUUGCAUUUGAUACUGGAAAGCUUGAGUGUGGUAGAGGGUAGUGGAACUCCCGGUGUAGCGGUGAAAUGCGUAGAUAUCGGGAAGAACACCAGUGGCGAAGGCGGCUACCUGGACUAACACUGACACUGAGAUACGAAAGCGUGGGGAGCGAACAGG